UACAGAGGUCUCAAGCGUUGUUCGGAUUCAUUGGGCGUAAAGGGUGCGUAGGUGGCGCGCUAAGUCAGGUGUGAAAUUUCGGAGCUUAACUCCGAAACUGCAUUUGAUACUGGCGUGCUUGAGGACUGGAGAGGAGACUGGAAUUCAUGGUGUAGCAGUGAAAUGCGUAGAGAUCAUGAGGAAGACCAGUGGCGAAGGCGGGUCUCUGGACAGUUCCUGAUACUGAGGCACGAAGGCCAGGGGAGCAAACGGG
rnacentral:rRNA from 1 species